rnacentral:rRNA from 1 species
GAUGAACGCUGGCGGCGUGCCUAACACAUGCAAGUCGAACGGACUCAUAUUGAAACCUAGUGAUUUAUGAGUUAGUGGCGGACGGGUGAGUAACGCGUGGAAAACCUGCCGUAUACCGGGGGAUAACACUUAGAAAUAGGUGCUAAUACCGCAUAAGCGCACAGCUUCGCAUGAAGCAGUGUGAAAAACUCCGGUGGUAUACGAUGGUUCCGCGUCUGAUUAGCUAGUUGGCGGGGUAACGGCCCACCAAGGCGACGAUGCGUAGGGGUUCUGAGAGGAAGGUCCCCCACACUGGUACUGAGACACGGACCAG